GCCCCCGUGGCGGAAUGGUAGACGCAUCCGACUUAAAAUCGGCCGCCUCGUGCGUGCGGGUUCGAGUCCCGCCGGGGGCA
rnacentral:tRNA from 1 species